UACGUAGGGACCAAGCGUUGUUCGGAUUUACUGGGCGUAAAGGGCGCGUAGGCGGCGUGGUAAGUCACUUGUGAAAAUCUCUGAGCUUAACUCAGAACGGUCAAGUGAUACUGCUGUGCUAGAGUGCGGAAGGGGCAAUCGGAAUUCUUGGUGUAGCGGUGAAAUGCGUAGAUAUCAAGAGGAACACCUGAGGUGAAGACGG
rnacentral:rRNA from 1 species